rnacentral:lncRNA from 1 species
AUUUCCAUUUCUUCGGCUCAUGGCUAAUUGUAGUACUUGUAAUUAAUAUGAUUUCUUUUCUUCUUUCUUUUGAAUAAUAAUCAAUCUCCCCUGUCUGAAAACAAAAGCCCCAAAAAUAACAAUAAAUAACAUUAAAAAAGGAGUUCAACUAAUAUGACAACGUAAAGAAAUUUUUACUUUUUAUAGCAAGUAUGGAUUGAUAACCAACAAAACACAGUAAACAAGUGUAAUCCGGUGCACUCAGCUCUCGCUAUGCGCAGAGUUUGAAAAAGGCCAGACCACAAGGGUCAAUUGUACGCAGUCUUACACUGCAUUUCUGCAGGAGGCUGUUUUCAUGGCUUGAACCUCUGACCUCCUGGUCACACGGCAUCAACUUUACCAGUUACGCCAAGGCUCCUCUUCCAACAAACCACGGUAAAUGAUCAAUUAAAACAGGUAAAAUUAUACUGAUAGUGUAAAAAUGAUAUUAAAAAACGAUUAGUAUUUUUUACGUGAUCAUCAGAAGAACUUGUAUUACCUUAAGAUUGAGGAAUUUUUGCCACCUAAAGGAAGUGAUGAGGAAAGCUAGCUCUUCUAAUUCAAAGGUGGAGUAAGGGUGGUAGUGAUUGAAGAAAGGAAGGGGGUAGCCGGAAGGUUACGGCGGAGAUCGGCGGCGCACCAAGGGAAGUAACCGGAACCACCGGCAGCACGGCCAAACUACUAAGAUGAACAAGUUGAACUUGUUGUGGUCCUAGUUGAUGAUCUUGGACUUGUAAAGCCAUAUUAUAUAAUGGGAACUAUAGAGUGGAGAGAUGGGAUUGCUUUAAA